rnacentral:rRNA from 1 species
UACGUAGGGAGCAAGCGUUUGUCCGGAAUCAUUGGGCGUAAAGCGCGCGUAGGUGGCUCUAUAAGUCCGUUGUGAAAGUCAAAGGCUACAACCUUUGAAAGCCGAUGGAUACUGUAGAGCUAGAGUCCGGAAGAGGCGAGUGGAAUUCCUGGUGUAGCGGUGGAAUGCGCAGAUAUCAGGAGGAACACCAAUAGCGAAGGCAGCUCGCUGGGACGGUACCGACACUAAGGCGCGAAAGCGUGGGGAGCGAACAGG